CAGCAGCCGCGGUAAUACCGGCGGCCCGAGUGGCGGCCACUAUUAUUGGGCUUAAAGCGUCCGUAGCCGGGUUGGUUAGUCUCCCGGGAAAUCUGGCCGCUUAACGGUCAGAAUUCCGGGGGAUACUGCCAGCCUAGGGACCGGGAGAGGCCGAGGGUAUUCCCGGAGUAGGGGUGAAAUCCUAUAAUCCCGGGAGGACCACCUGUGGCGAAGGCGCUCGGCUGGAACGGGUCCGACGGUGAGGGACGAAGGCCAGGGGAGCAAACCGGAUUAGAUACCCGGGUAGUCCUGGCUGUAAACGAUGCGGACUUUGUGUCGGACAAGCUAUGAGCUUGUCCGGUGCCGGAGGGAAACCGUUAAGUCCGCCGCCUGGGGAGUACGGCCGCAAGGCUGAAACUUAAAGGAAUUGGCGGG
rnacentral:rRNA from 1 species